UACGGGGGGGGGCAAGCGUUGUUCGGAAUUACUGGGCGUAAAGGGCUCGUAGGCGGCCAACUAAGUCAGACGUGAAAUCCCUCGGCUUAACCGGGGAACUGCGUCUGAUACUGGAUGGCUUGAGUUUGGGAGAGGGAUGCGGAAUUCCAGGUGUAGCGGUGAAAUGCGUAGAUAUCUGGAGGAACACCGGUGGCGAAGGCGGCAUCCUGGACCAACACUGACGCUGAGGUGCGAAAGCGUGGGGAGCAAACAGGG
rnacentral:rRNA from 1 species